rnacentral:rRNA from 5 species
GGUGAAGUCGUAACAAGGUAACCGUAGGGGAACCUGCGGUUGGAUCACCUCCUUACCUUAAAGAAGCG